UGAGCACUGACUGGAGCAAUCUGUUGACUGUCCCCUGUUGUAAACCACAGCUGCCUAAUUUUGAGAAACAGGGGCCGAGCCAUCAGAUGUAGGGGAAUGGAAGCUGAUGCCAACGGAAGCCCGGAGGUAAACUAGGGCCCCGGAAAAACGAAGAGGAAACAGAAAUUAUGAGUAAGCAGCGGAAGUUGAAACCUGACACUAAUUAAGCUAGUGCAAGAAGAAGAAGAAAAAGAAGAUGAAUCUUCCACCACACUGGAGAUAACCCAAGAAGUAAGAAAAACUG
rnacentral:lncRNA from 1 species